rnacentral:rRNA from 1 species
UACAGAGGGUGCAAGCGUUGUUCGGAAUCACUGGGCGUAAAGCGCACGUAGGCGGAUUGCUAAGUCAGGGGUGAAAUCCUGGAGCUCAACUCCAGAACUGCCUUUGAUACUGGCAACCUUGAGUCCGGGAGAGGUGAGUGGAACUGCGAGUGUAGAGGUGAAAUUCGUAGAUAUUCGCAAGAACACCAGUGGCGAAGGCGGCUCACUGGCCCGGUACUGACGCUGAGGUGCGAAAGCGUGGGGAGCAAACAGG